UACGUAGGGCGCAAGCGUUAUCCGGAAUUAUUGGGCGUAAAGAGCUCGUAGGCGGUUUGUCGCGUCUGCCGUGAAAGUCCGGGCUCAACUCCGGAUCUGCGGUGGGUACGGGCAGACUAGAGUGAUGUAGGGGAGACUGGAAUUCCUGGUGUAGCGGUGAAAUGCGCAGAUAUCAGGAGGAACACCGGAUGGCGAAGGCAGGUCUCUGGGCAUUAACUGACGCUGAGGAGCGAAAGCAUGGGGAGCGAACAGG
rnacentral:rRNA from 1 species